rnacentral:misc_RNA from 1 species
ACCUUGUCUAUUUCGAUGUCAGACAACUGGUUUAAACCAACUAUGUAAAUGUUCAUGAAUAGGGCAGCAACAAUGGCCUCUAACACCCCAGUGAAAAAUAAUGGAGAAAAAUCAGAGAACUUCUCAACUGCAAGGAGAGAAACUGAAAUUAUGCUCAAUGCUGUUCCUAUUAUGGUAUGGGGCCGCGAGAACCUGUAGAAAGCAUCUACGGCAUCAUUAACUGAGUCCCAAGGACUUUUAGAAGGUUGAGAUUCAAGAGGGUGUUCAGAUGAUGCGUGCACCAAAAAUCUCCCUUUAAGUUUUUUAUCAGCAGCAAUAGUGCUUAGAUCACUUCCUCCAACAUGCUCUUGCGUGAUAUACUGCCGCUGCAACUUCAUUGAAGAGGAAUAGUGCUUUUUUGGUCUCUUCCAUGCUUUACAUUUCAAAACCCGUACUAUUGCAUGUGAACUGGUUUUGAGUGGAGAAAACUCAGCAGGAACUGGAAUUGAUGGUCUAUGAAAGGACCCAAUAAGCAAAGAUUCCAUUUUUGAUUUUUAAAUCAGCACUGAACUCCACUCUACUUUGAACUACCUGAAAUUAAGCUUCAGAACAUGGGAUACUGCUAUUUCUCAUUUCAAUUUUUG